rnacentral:rRNA from 1 species
UACGUAGGGGGCAAGCGUUGUCCGGAAUUAUUGGGCGUAAAGAGCGUGUAGGCGGCCAGGUAGGUCGGUUGUGAAAACUAGAGGCUCAACCUCUAGACGUCGACCGAAACCAUCUGGCUAGAGUCCGGAAGAGGAGAGUGGAAUUCCUGGUGUAGCGGUGAAAUGCGCAGAUAUCAGGAAGAACACCCGUGGCGAAGGCGGCUCUCUGGGACGGUACUGACGCUGAGACGCGAAAGCGUGGGGAGCGAACAGG